rnacentral:rRNA from 1 species
UACGUAGGGGGCGAGCGUUGUCCGGAGUUACUGGGCGUAAAGCGCACGCAGGCGGUCUGCUAAGUUUGGAGUGACAGUUGGUGGCUCAACCACCAAAGUGCUUUGAAAACUGACAGACUUGAGGGCUUCAGAGGGACACGGAAUCCGGGUGGAGUGGUGAAAUGCGUAGAGAUCCGGAGGAACACCAAAGGCGAGGGCAGUGUCCUGGGGAGUACCUGACGCU